GAUGAAGAACGUAGUGAAAUGCGAUACGUAAUGUGAAUUGCAGAAUUCAGUGAAUCAUCGAAUCUUUGAACGCACAUUGCGCCUGCCAGCACUCUGGCAGGCAUGCCUGUUCGAGCGUCAUUUCAACCAUCAAGCCCUAGGCUUGCGUUGGAGCCCUGCGGCUGCCGCAGGCCCCUAAAAGCAGUGGCGGGCUCGCUAUCACACCGAGUGCAGUAGAUUACUCUUCGCUCAGGGCGUGUGGUGGGUUCCAGCCGUGAAACCCCCUACUUCUCAAGGUUGACCUCGGAUCAGGUAGGAAUACCCGCUGAACUUAAGCAUAUCAAUAAGCGGAGGA
rnacentral:misc_RNA from 1 species